rnacentral:rRNA from 1 species
GACGAACGCUGGCGGCGUGCUUAACACAUGCAAGUCUACGAUGCUUAAUCAGCAAUGGUUAAGUAGAGUGGCGCACGGGUGCGUAAAGCGCAGGUAAUCUACCUUACAGACGGAAAUAACAUUUCCAACGAGGUGCUAAUAUCCGAUACCACAAUGUAAUCGCAUGAAAAUAUUGUGAAAUCCUUCGGGGCUGUAAGAUGAGCCUGCGUCCCAUUAGGUAGUUGGUGAGGUAAAGGCCCACCAAGCCGACGAUGGGUAGCUGGUCUGAGAGGACGAUCAGCCACACUGGAACUGAGACACGGUCCAGACUCCUACGGGAGGCAGCAGUGAGGAAUAUUGCUCAAUGGCCGCAAGGCUGAAGCAGCAACGCCGCGUGAGGGAUGAAGGAUCUAUGGUCUGUAAACCUCUGUAGAGAAGGAAAAUAAUUCAUUACAUGAAUAUGAU